rnacentral:rRNA from 1 species
GACGAACCGAGCGAACGUUGUUCGGAAUCACUGGGCUUAAAGGGCGCGUAGGCGGGCGAUCAAGUCGGUGGUGAAAUCCUACAGCUUAACUGUAGAACUGCCUCUGAUACUGGUUGUCUCGAGGAAGGUAGGGGCGUGCGGAACAGUUGGUGGAGCGGUGAAAUGCGUUGAUAUCAACUGGAACUCCGGUGGCGAAGGCGGCACGCUGGACCUUUUCUGACGCUGAGGCGCGAAAGCCAGGGGAGCAAACGGG